AACUAGGAUUAGAUACCCUAUUAUACUAAAUAUAAAUCUAAGAUGUACUUGAGUAGUAUCAGUUAUAAUCUUGAAACUUAAAGGAUUUGGCGGUAUUCAAGUCUAGUUAGAGGAACCUGCGCUAUAAACGAUAUGCCACGAAUUAUCUUACUUUUUUUUGUUAUCAGUAUGUAUACCUCCAUUAUAAAUAAUAUUUUUAAGUAAGUAUUGUAAUAAUUUUAUUAAGUAUAUUAGGUCAAGGUGCAGCUUAUAUAAAAGUUGUUGUGGGUUACAAUGUGUUUUAUAAUAGUUACGGAUGAAGUUCUUAAAAAUAUUUCUGAAGUUGGAUUUAAUUGUAUUUUUAUUUUAAUAAGUUAAUUUGAUAAUAAGCUCUAGAAUAUGUACAUAUUGCCCGUCGCUCUCAUGAUAAGUGAGAUAAGUCGUAACAAAGUAGG
rnacentral:rRNA from 1 species